rnacentral:rRNA from 1 species
UACGUAGGUGGCAAGCGUUUGUCCGGAAUUAUUGGGCGUAAAGCGCGUGCAGGCGGUCCUUUAAGUCUGAUGUGAAAUCCCGUGGCUUAACCACGGGCGGUCAUUGGAAACUGGGGGACUUGAGUGCAGAAGAGAAGAGCGGAAUUCCACGUGUAGCGGUGAAAUGCGUAGAGAAUGUGGAGGAACACCAGUGGCGAAGGCGGCUCACUGGCCCGGUACUGACGCUGAGGUGCGAAAGCGUGGGGAGCAAACAGG